AUUUUGCGCAAUGGGCGAAAGCCUGACGCAGCAACACCGCGUGUAGGAUGACGGCCCUCGGGUUGUAAACUACUGUCAGCAGGGAAUAAAUUGACUGUACCUGCAGAGGAAGCAUCGGCUAACUACGUGCCAGCAGCCGCGGUAAGACGUAGGAUGCAAGCGUUGUCCGGAUUUAUUGGGCGUAAAGAGUUCGUAGGCGGUUACUUAAGUCUGGUGGUAAAGACGGGAGCUCAACUCCCGCAUGGCAUUGGAAACUGGGUGACUAGAGUAUGGUAGAGGUAUCGGGAAUUCCAGGUGUAGCGGUGAAAUGCGUAGAUAUCUGGAGGAACACCAGUGGCGAAAGCGCGAUACUGGGCCAUAACUGACGCUGAGGAACGAAAGCCAGGGUAGCAAAAGGG
rnacentral:rRNA from 1 species